GGUUUUAGCUCAGUGGUAGAGCACAUGCUUAGCAGAUGCAAGGCCCUAGGUUCAAUUCCUAGCACCA
rnacentral:tRNA from 1 species